ensembl:snoRNA
AACCAAAACCUAAGCAUGAUGAUUGGGUUUUCAGGCUGUUUUAUGAUAUGUGCCUUCCUCAAAACUUGUGAUGGUAUCAUCACAUCACCCAUCUGAUG